rnacentral:rRNA from 1 species
UGGGGAAUAUUGGACAAUGGGCGCAAGCCUGAUCCAGCCAUGCCGCGUGAGUGAUGAAGGCCGUAGGGUUGUAAAGCUCUUUCACCGGUGAAGAUAAUGACGGUAACCGGAGAAGAAGCCCCGGCUAACUUCGUGCCAGCAGCCGCGGUAAUACGAAGGGGGCUAGCGUUGUUCGGAUUUACUGGGCGUAAAGCGCACGUAGGCGGACUUUUAAGUCAGGGGUGAAAUCCCGGGGCUCAACCCCGGAACUGCCUUUGAUACUGGAAGUCUUGAGUAUGGUAGAGGUGAGUGGAAUUCCGAGUGUAGAGGUGAAAUUCGUAGAUAUUCGGAGGAACACCAGUGGCGAAGGCGACUCACUGGACCAUUACUGACGCUGAGGUGCGAAAGCGUGGGGAGCAAACAGG